rnacentral:RNase_P_RNA from 2 species
CGAGUAAACCAGACAAUCGCUGCUGCAAUUUUGCAGGAGAGGAAAGUCCGAGCUCCAUAGGGCGGGGUGCUGGGUAACUCCCAGUCAAGGUGACUUGAAGGAAAGUGCAACAGAGAUAUACCGCCAUUUUUAAUGGUAAGGGUGGAAAGGCGAGGUAAGAGCUCACCAGCGCACUGGCGACUUUGCGGCUAUGUAAACCCCAUCUGGAGCAAGAUCGAAUAGGGAGGCGUUUUGGAGUGGCCCGCUCUGCUUCCGGGUAGUAUCGCUUGAACCUUAUGGUAACAUAGGGUCUAGAUAGAUGAUUGUCAAAUACAGAACUCGGCUUACAGGUUUAGUCGUCCA